UUUGAUUAUAGUGUUGUAACUCAGCACUACCGCUACAUACGCUAUUAAAUGCGAGAAAAAAAUUACAAACUUUUUAUUUAUUUUUCAUCUUACAUUUUACAUAUUAUGUCUACGUUAUCUAAAAAUUAAUAGAAUUGAACAUAGUAGAUUCGAGUAAAUUAUUUUUACAAUGACGUCAAUGAAUAACCAGCAAUGAACUCGAAAGAUGCGAAUGAACUAAAAACAUAAUUAUCAAACGAGUAGUAGGUAUGUAACGUAAUCAUGUACUAUUAUUAAUUGGCAUGCUUAUCCUUUAGGUUAUACAUAUUAUUUCGAUUACUCUGCAUAAAUCGGAGGAUUAAAAAAAAUACACAUAUGCAACUUACUAUACCACACGUCCACAUACCACAGCUCAUACCAUUCGUUUUAAAAACAAUAUCGUCAAAUUUAUAUAUUAUCCAUAUGAGUAACGAGAUGGAGUGAACUAAUUGUUAACUGAACGCCGUUAAAAACGAAAUGUGGAUUUUCAUCGAAUAUUAGACGGGUUAACAUCUCGGAAAAAUGGACGUGAAAUUUAAUACACAGCGCAUACGGACAAGUCACCACAGCGGUCGAGUGUCAAAACCAUGGCGAUUUCCACCUCACCCCUUUAAGGCUUGGUGCACUGUUAAUUGGCCAUGUCAAAUGAUUCAUUACAUCGUUAUUAUGUGAUCUAUAAUGGUACUUUUAUAGUAUUGUACCUAACAAACUUACGUCUAUACCAUGACUACAAGAUGCCCAUGGGCAAGUGACGGAUGAACCGCAAUCUGAAUUUUAAUCACGAAGGGAAAAAGACAAGACAGUCCUAAUUAUUUAUUUAACACUAACAUGAUCAACAAGUAGUUGAUUUAAUUUUAAUUUCGACAUUAUUUGUUUAAAAUACUAAAAGUUUGAAUCGAAUGUAUUUAUUAAUUAGUAUUAUAUGUUAUUUACAAUGCUAAUGCUUUAUUUUAUAUGUAAUACAACUUGCUAUCGCUAACAAAUUAUUUUCUCCUUGGACCUCAAUAA